rnacentral:ncRNA from 1 species
CAACAAGCGAUGACGAAGACAAGUAGAAAAAAGGAACAUGCAUACAGAGAGCCUGUGGUUGCUGCAAACAGGUCAUGACUUUUUUCGAAUGGCCUUUUGAGCCUGUCCGGUGAACCAUGGUAUUGUGAAGUAUCCGGACACGUGAGCCGAGCGUUAAUCCGGCACGAUUCUAUGAAGCGACUGAGGAUCGAACAUGUAAUAACAUUCAUGCUCUUCAGUAACCAGGGUGGUACCACGGUCCAUUCGUCCCUGCU